CAAUAGCGUAUAUUAAAGUUGUUGCGGUUAAAAAGCUCGUAGUUGGAUUUCUGCCGAGGACGUCCGGUCCGCCCUCUGGGUGGGUACAUGGCACGGCCUGGGCAUCUUCUUGGGGAACGUAUCUGCACUUGACUGUGUGGUGCGGUAUCCAGGACUUUUACUUUGAGGAAAUUAGAGUGUUUCAAGCAGGCACACGCCUUGAAUACAUUAGCAUGGAAUAAUAAGAUAGGACCUCGGUUCUAUUUUGUUGGUUUCUAGAGCUGAGGUAAUGAUUAAUAGGGAUAGUUGGGGGCAUUCGUAUUUAACUGUCAGAGGUGAAAUUCCUGGAUUUGUUAAAGACGGACUACUGCGAAAGCAUUUGCCAAGGAUGUUUUCAUUGA
rnacentral:rRNA from 1 species